rnacentral:rRNA from 1 species
CCCUUAGAUGUCCUGGGCCGCACGCGUGCUACACUGACGCAUACAGCGAGCACUUUCCAGUUCCGAGAGGCUACUGGUAAUCAUCAAUAUGCGUCGUGAUGGGGAUAGAUCUUUGGAAUUCUGGAUCUUGAACGAGGAAUGCCUAGUAAUCGCAGGUCAUUAGCCUGCGAUGAUUAAGUCCCUGCCCUUUGUACACACCGCCCGUCGCUACUACCGAUUUCGAGUGGUCAGGUGAAUCUUUCGGACUGCGGGCGCCCUUGAGGUGUUCGCGGAAAGUCAGGUAAAUCUUAUCACUUAGAGGAAGUAAAAGUCGUAACA